UACGAAGGGGGCUAGCGUUGUUCGGAAUCACUGGGCGUAAAGGGCGCGUAGGCGGCUUUGUAAGUCGGAUGUGAAAGCCCCGGGCUCAACCCGGGAAGUGCAUACGAAAACUGGCAGGCUUGAAUAUGGAAGAGGGUCGCGGAAUUCCCGGUGUAGAGGUGAAAUUCGUAGAUAUUCGCAAGAACACCAGUGGCGAAGGCGGCUCACUGGCCCGAUACUGACGCUGAGGCACGAAAGCGUGGGGAGCAAACAGG
rnacentral:rRNA from 1 species